rnacentral:piRNA from 1 species
UGUAUAGUACCAUGCUGCAUA